rnacentral:lncRNA from 1 species
AACACCCUUGGUACGGUUUUCAUAAGGUUACUCUGUAGUAUAUAUCACCUAGUGUAAGAAACCAAUUAUAGUAUUUAUUUAUUAUACUAUUAUUAUUAUAUUUUAUUUUAAUUAUGUGGAGUGUUAAUUAAUUAAUUGGUGGUUAGGUAGUAUAAUAAUUGAUUAUAUUAAUUAAUUUGGUGUGUUAAUUAAUUAUUUAGUUGAUAUGAGAUAU